GAUGAACGCUGGCGGCGUGCCUAAUACAUGCCAGUCGAGCGAACAGAUGAGGAGCUUGCUCCUCUGACGUUAGCGGCGGACGGGUGAGUAACACGUGUAUAACCUACCUAUAAGACUGGGAUAACUUCGGGAAACCGGAGCUAAUACCGGAUAAUAUAUUGAACCGCAUGGUUCAAUAGUGAAAGACGGUUUUGCUGUCACUUAUAGAUGGAUCCGCGCCGCAUUAGCUAGUUGGUAAGGUAACGGCUUACCAAGGCAACGAUGCGUAGCCGACCUGAGAGGGUGAUCGGCCACACUGGAACUGAAACACGGUCCAGACUCCUACGGGAGGCAGCAGUAGGGAAUCUUCCGCAAUGGGCGAAAGCCUGACGCAGCAACGCCGCGUGAGUGAUGAAGGUCUUCGGAUCGUAAAGCUCUGUUAUUAGGGAAGAACAAAUGUGUAAGUAACUAUGCACGUCUUGACGGUACCUAAUCAGAAAGCCACGGCUAACUACGUG
rnacentral:rRNA from 1 species